AUUGGCUGAAAAUCACCCACAGCUUUAUCCGUGGCCAUGGGUGAAAUUUGGUGUCCAGAUCCAGGACACCACCCACUCUUUGGUGUGGGGAGGCGAAACCAAGGAGUCUCCAUGC
rnacentral:snoRNA from 1 species